AGUUUUGUGCAGUGACAGUAUCCUAGCCAGUCAGGUUUAACCAAGGCGUGAUUAUUGCUAAUUGAAAAUGCAUGGAACAGUUCCCAAAACAGAGUAUGUGCUCAGUAUGUGUUAGGUUAUUAUUAUACAGAACAGAUUAUC
rnacentral:snRNA from 1 species